rnacentral:misc_RNA from 1 species
AUCAAGGCUUUGUUAGAACCAUAAUUGAAUACUAAUGACAAUAACAAUUGUUGAGAAAGCAAUAUAUUUGGUGCUGGAGGAAAUGCAUACCAUGAAGGGCUAGAGAGCAGUUGAGAUUUUAUUUCGGGAUGUGAACAUAAGUAAACACUGUAAAGGCAUAAAAAUUUUCCAAUCUAUUUGUUUUAGUUUCUUGUUGUUCAAGCCCAAGG